UACGGAGGGUGCAAGCGUUAUCCGGAUUCACUGGGUUUAAAGGGUGCGUAGGUGGCCAGUUAAGUCGGUGGUGAAAUCUCCGGGCUUAACCCGGAAACUGCCAUUGAUACUAUUUGUCUUGAAUACUGUGGAGGUCAGCGGAAUAUGUCAUGUAGCGGUGAAAUGCUUAGAUAUGACAUAGAACACCAAUUGCGAAGGCAGCUGGCUACACAAAUAUUGACACUGAGGCACGAAAGCGUGGGGAUCAAACAGG
rnacentral:rRNA from 1 species